AUUUUCUAACUCUUACUAACAAAAGUAACAAAAUAUUUAAAACAGGAUAAAAAUAGAAAGCUUGCUUCUGAUUGGUCAAAGCACAAAGGGAAGGAUUGGCUUUGAUUAGUCAUCCACCGUUGAUAUGAAAAAUCGUACGGCCACUAAAUAGUCAAUUCUUUUUAUUUUCCUCCUCUUCUUUAAUCAUUUCAAUAUACAAAUAAUAUGAUAAAGUGAAAUGUUGAGAUUGGUUAAUAUCUGAUGACAAAGAUAGCUAUUUUUAACCAUUGAUUAUUUUGAUCCAAUGGAUGUAAUUCAAUUUGCUCCUUGUCCAAUCAUUUUCUUUUGGUCUUCCUCUCACUCUCACGUUUCUCUCUGCUCCUCUCUCUAUUGAGAUUUCAUUUCAUCAUUCUACUCUUCUUCUUUCUUCACCAUAGCAAUCCUCAUUCUACAAACACAAACCAUUAUCACUGUCACCUCCGCCCGAAGCCACCAUCACAUCCGCCACCUCCUCCUCCUUGUUCUCCACCUUCGCGGACCACAAUCGCAUCCUCCUCCUCCUUGUUCCUCAACCACAAAUCUAGAUUCGUGAAUGGAGAUGACGCUGGUGAGACUGGAGAUGACGACGACAGAGGUCUCAAACAAACGUAAAUAGGCAUACGAAUCUGGGAGGAGGCACGGAAGCUGCAGAUGAAGACGUCUCCGGUCAAGGCUGGAAGAGGAGGAGGCACAAGGCUCAUGAAGGAGGCGAGGCGGCAGCUGCGUCGAAGGAGGCGCACGGAAGCUGUAGUGGGGGAGACCCUGAGGCUGGAAGCAGAGACGACGGCGUCUCCGGUCAAGGAUGGAGAAGGCCAGGCGCACUGGUUGAGGAGGCACACAUGGAAGAAGCGCACAUGGAGAAGGGCGGCUGGAGUUUUUUUUUUAAGGGUUUUCCGGUUUAGUGUAAACCGAAUUGGAUAAACCGUUGUGGUUUACUUUAUUUUUUAUUUUUCUGGUUUAGUUUUGUAAACCGAAAUUUAUUUAUCAAAAUAUUUUAUUUUA